rnacentral:snoRNA from 1 species
UCCCGUUGAUGAAACAUUUAGUAAUCUGAAAUUUUGCAUAAUUGGGGCUCCCUCUUGCCAUCUUUGUCGUAGGAGGUUGAGGAACCAUUAUUUUUUAUGCCAGGUAGAAAAUAGGCAUUUCUGAGGGAU